rnacentral:rRNA from 1 species
CCUACGGGGGGCAGCAGUGGGGAAUAUUGGGCAAUGGGCGCAAGCCUGACCCAGCAACGCCGCGUGAAGGAAGAAGGCUUUCGGGUUGUAAACUUCUUUUGUCAGGGAAGAGUAGAAGACGGUACCUGACGAAUAAGCCACGGCUAACUACGUGCCAGCAGCCGCGGUAAUACGUAGGUGGCAAGCGUUAUCCGGAUUUACUGGGUGUAAAGGGCGUGUAGGCGGGAGUGCAAGUCAGAUGUGAAAACUAUGGGCUCAACCCAUAGCCUGCAUUUGAAACUGUACUUCUUGAGUGCUGGAGAGGCAAUCGGAAUUCCGUGUGUAGCGGUGAAAUGCGUAGAUAUACGGAGGAACACCAGUGGCGAAGGCGGAUUGCUGGACAGUAACUGACGCUGAGGCGCGAAAGCGUGGGGAGCAAACAGGAUUAGAUACCCCAGUAGUC